UACCAUAUCACGUUGAAAGAUCAGUUCUCGUAUGAUCACCGAAGUUAAGCAAGAUCGAGCCGGGUCAGUUCUUAGAUGGGUGACCGUUUGAGAAUACCAGGUGCUGUAAG